rnacentral:rRNA from 1 species
UACAGAGGGGGCAAGCGUUGUUCGGAAUUACUGGGCGUAAAGGGCGCGUAGGCGGCCUGCUAAGUCGAACGUGAAAUCCCUGGGCUUAACCCAGGAACUGCGUCCGAUACUGGCAGGCUUGAAUCCGAGAGAGGGAUGCGGAAUUCCAGGUGUAGCGGUGAAAUGCGUAGAUAUCUGGAGGAGCACCGGUGGCGAAGGCGGCAUCCUGGACCGGCAUUGACGCUGAGGCGCGAAAGCCAGGGGAGCAAACGGG